rnacentral:rRNA from 1 species
UACGAAGGGUGCAAGCGUUACUCGGAAUUACUGGGCGUAAAGGGUGCGUAGGUGGUCGUUUAAGUCCGUUGUGAAGUCCCUGGGCUCAACCUGGGAAUGGCAGUGGAUACUGGACGGCUAGAAUGCGGUAGAGGGUAGUGGAAUUCCCGGUGUAGCAGUGAAAUGCGUAGAUAUCUGGAGGAACACCGGUGGCGAAGGCGGCGACCUGGUCCUAUACUGACACUCAUACACGAAAGCGUGGGGAUCAAACAGG